AUGAACGCUAGCUACAGGCCUAACACAUGCAAGUCGAGGGGAAACGGCAGCUUAGCUUGCUAAGCUGGACGUCGACCGGCGCACGGGUGAGUAACGCGUAUCCAACCUGCCCCACGGUGAGGGAUAACCCGCGGAAACGCGGCCUAAUACCUCAUGGUCUCCGAGCUUGACAUCAACCUUGGAGUAAAGAUUCAUUGCCGUGGGAUGGGGAUGCGUCUGAUUAGCUUGUUGGCGGGGCAACGGCCCACCAAGGCAACGAUCAGUAGGGGUUCUGAGAGGAAAGCCCCCCACAUUGGAACUGAGACACGGUCCAAACUCCUACGGGAGGCAGCAGUGAGGAAUAUUGGUCAAUGGGCGAGAGCCUGAACCAGCCAAGUAGCGUGCAGGAUGACGGCCCUAUGGGUUGUAAACUGCUUUUAUGCGGGGAUAAAGCGGGCGACGUGUCGCCCUUUGCAGGUACCGCAUGAAUAAGGACCGGCUAAUUCCGUGCCAGCAGCCGCGGUAAUACGGAAGGUCCGGGCGUUAUCCGGAUUUAUUGGGUUUAAAGGGAGCGCAGGCCGGGUAUUAAGCGUGUUGUGAAAUGUAGGCGCCCAACGUCUGCACCGCAGCGCGAACUGGUGCCCUUGAGUACGCACGACGUUGGCGGAAUUCGCCGUGUAGCGGUGAAAUGCUUAGAUAUGGCGAAGAACUCCGAUUGCGAAGGCAGCUGACGGGAGCGCUACUGACGCUCAUGCUCGAAAGCGCGGGUAUCGAACAGGAUUAGAUACCCUGGUAGUCCAUGCCGUAAACGAUGAUUACUAGGUGUGGGGUGGCUGACCCAUUCCGUGCCGGAGUUAACACAAUAAGUAAUCCACCUGGGGAGUACGGCCGCAAGGUUGAAACUCAAAGGAAUUGACGGGGGCCCGCACAAGCGGAGGAACAUGUGGUUUAAUUCGAUGAUACGCGAGGAACCUUACCCGGGCUUGAAUUGCAGAGGAAAGAUCCAGAGAUGGUGAUGCCCUUCGGGGCCUCUGUGAAGGUGCUGCAUGGUUGUCGUCAGCUCGUGCCGUGAGGUGUCGGCUUAAGUGCCAUAACGAGCGCAACCCCUCUCCAUAGUUGCCAUCAGGUAAUGCUGGGCACUCUGUGGACACUGCCACCGUAAGGUGCGAGGAAGGUGGGGAUGACGUCAAAUCAGCACGGCCCUUACGUCCGGGGCUACACACGUGUUACAAUGGGGGGUACAGAGAGUCGGGACAACGCGAGUUGCCCCCAAUCAUCAAAGCCCCCCUCAGUUCGGACUGGGGUCUGCAACCCGACCCCACGAAGCUGGAUUCGCUAGUAAUCGCGCAUCAGCCAUGGCGCGGUGAAUACGUUCCCGGGCCUUGUACACACCGCCCGUCAAGCCAUGAAAGCCGGGGGCGCCUGAAGUCCGUGACCGCGAGGAUCGGCCUAGGGCGAAACUGGUAAUUGGGGCU
rnacentral:rRNA from 1 species